rnacentral:rRNA from 1 species
GCAGAAGAAGGGCGCCAACUACGGCCCGCAGCCGCGGUAUACGUAGGGGCCAGCGUUUCCGGAAUUAUUGGGCGAAAGAGUUAGUAGGGGGUUUGUCGCGUCUGCCGUGAAAGUCCGGGCUUAACUCCGGAUCUGCGGUGGGUACGGGCAGACUAGAGUGCAGUAGGGGAGACUGGAAUUCCUGGUGUAGCGGUGAAAUGCGCAGAUAUCAGGAGGAACACCGAAGGCGAAGGCAGGUCUCUGGGCUGUAACUGACGCUGAGGAGCGAAAGCAAGGGGAGCGAACAGGAUUAGAUACCCUGGUAGUCCAUGCCGUAAACGUUGGGCACUAGGUGUGGGGGACAUUCCACGUUUUCCGCGCCGUAGCUAACGCAUUAAGUGCCCCGCCUGGGGAGUACGGCCGCAAGGCUAAAACUCAAAGGAAUUGACGGGGGCCCGCACAAGCGGCGGAGCAUGCGGAUUAAUUCGAUGCAACGCGAAGAACCUUACCAAGGCUUGACAUGAACCGGAAUGGUGCAGAGAUGUGUCAGCCACUUGUGGCCGGUUUACAGGUGGUGCAUGGUUGUCGUCAGCUCGUGUCGUGAGAUGUUGGGUUAAGUCCCGCAACGAGCGCAACCCUCGUUCCAUGUUGCCAGCGGGUUAUGCCGGGGACUCAUGGGAGACUGCCGGGGUCAACUCGGAGGAAGGUGGGGACGACGUCAAAUCAUCAUGCCCCUUAUGUCUUGGGCUUCACGCAUGCUACAAUGGCCGGUACAAAGGGUUGCGAUACUGUGAGGUGGAGCUAAUCCCAAAAAGCCGGUCUCAGUUCGGAUUGAGGUCUGCAACUCGACCUCAUGAAGUC